rnacentral:lncRNA from 12 species
UGGCGCGCUCGGCGGGCGCUCGGGGAGGGGCACGGGCCCGGCCAUUGGCCGAGGGGCGCACCUGUCACCGUCCGGGCCGCCCGCCGCCCCGCCCCCGCGCCGCGAGGUCCUAGAGCGCCGGGCUGCCGAGCGGCGGCGGCGGGGCGGAGACGGCCACCGGCAGCCGGAUCGGAGGCCCCGCCUGGGGAGCCCGCGCGCCCUCCCGCAAGUGCUGGGCGGGGCUGCGGGCGCCGGCACCCCGGGUCCCGGCGUGGGCCCCGCCGCCUGGGUCCCGCCCCGGAGACCCGCGGUCCCGCCGCGGCCCGGCGACACCUAGAGCCAGCGGCGCGCGUCUCGUGGCGCCUCCGCGCCAGCGCUUGAGCCUGGGCGCUGCUGCGUCGGGGAGCCCGCUUUGCUCAACGACGGCAGCACAGCGACGACCAAAGCGGUCCCCAAGCCCUGCUCCCGGGGCUCCGGGUGCACGGCAGCACGUGCGUCCCUGUCGUCAGCCCUCUGCAGGUCGAACCUUAUUGCAUCCUCUGGGAAGUCCUGUGCGUUUCAGACGGCAUGCGUGUGAGAGAGCGUGAGUUUGCCUCCCGCAAGUCCUCGCCGUGAGCUCCUGCCCCGCCUGGGCGGAGAGGGCAGAGUCUGGGAGCCCCUAGGCCUGCAGGACCCAGGUCGACUUGGAGACGCUGCCCACCUGCUAUUGGGAGGAUCCUCUUCUCUGCGGAAGGACACCCGUGGGCGUGCAAGAGACAGCACCCUCCUCGGCUCUGGAAAGUCAGCGGGAGCCCCGAGUCCUCCCGAGGCGGGUCACUCUGCCCCUGGACCCUGUAACCAUGCUCCUAAACUACUCAGAAUCCUUGGCAGGGCCAUGCCAGUCCCCCUUGAGAGCAGCUGAGAGCACUUCCUGGAAGACAGAUUGGACAGGCACACGGGAGAGAGCACUGGGCUUCCUGGGACUGCAUCUGGGAAGGGGACCUUGUGCAGCUGCCCUCAUCUGUACCCCAGGUGAGCUGGCUGCAGAAGCGGUUGCCGGCCUUUCCCGCAGGCAGGAGGGGCAGAUCUGCAUCUGGGGGAGGUGAUCUGAAGGCCCUGGCCUGUGGGCGGGUGGGGUGGGGGAGGAAAACGUGUGCUGUCCCUUUAAGCCCUGGGCCACCGUCGCCUCCCGACCCCAUCCCCCCUCAAUUUAAUUUCAUUAAAACAGAGCAUGAAUAUUUCUAUUAAACCUAAAAUGAAAUAUGAAGCCAUUUAGACUCUGCCUGCACCAAUCACCCAGAUUUAUGACUUUUAUUCAUCACAUCAAGAGCUUGGAAAAAUGAAUUUUCUUCACCCAGGAAGGAAAUAAAACCUCAGGCUUGGUCA